ACUCCUACGGGAGGCAGCAGUGGGGAAUUUUGGACAAUGGGCGAAAGCCUGAUCCAGCAAUGCCGCGUGUGUGAAGAAGGCCUUCGGGUUGUAAAGCACUUUUGUCCGGAAAGAAAUCCUUGGCUCUAAUACAGUCGGGGGAUGACGGUACCGGAAGAAUAAGCACCGGCUAACUACGUGCCAGCAGCCGCGGUAAUACGUAGGGUGCGAGCGUUAAUCGGAAUUACUGGGCGUAAAGCGUGCGCAGGCGGUUUGCUAAGACCGAUGUGAAAUCCCCGGGCUCAACCUGGGAACUGCAUUGGUGACUGGCAGGCUAGAGUAUGGCAGAGGGGGGUAGAAUUCCACGUGUAGCAGUGAAAUGCGUAGAGAUGUGGAGGAAUACCGAUGGCGAAGGCAGCCCCCUGGGCCAAUACUGACGCUCAUGCACGAAAGCGGGGGGAGCAAACAGGAUUAGAUACCCUAGUAGUCCC
rnacentral:rRNA from 1 species